rnacentral:lncRNA from 10 species
AAUACUGAGCCUUCAUUCAAACUAAAAGGCUGGAAGGGAGGCAGCUGCCUUUGUUUGCCAUGGAUGGAAUUCAGAAAGGCAAGAGACCACCUUACUGAGCUUCAAACUGGGGCUGGGAACGCUGCCAUGAAUUGGGCUUGGUCUGUCUGAAGGGAGCCACCUUUUCGACAAUCCUUAGACUUCUUUUGCCUGUUGGAAUUACACCUUGGAUCGUGGCGAAGUCUAUAGAGGUCAGAUUAAGAAGAACCAAAGCAGAAUAAACGUAGAACCCGAUGCUGAGUUCACGAGUGAGGACGACCUCUUCCUAUAUGCUUUGCUAUACCCUGCGUUUUGAACAUUAAGGACGAGAUAGGAGGCCCAUAAUGUUUCUUCUUGCUUUAAUCCUGUCGUGGCAACGUUGACUUCCAGUAAGAAAGCCUGGUUGCAGAGUGAGCCCAUGGGACAGCCCUCUGAAAUUAUACUGCUUACAACCAUGCUGAGUCUGCAAGGACUUCGUCCAAGCCUUUCCGUCCAGGACCUCAAACAGAUCCAAUCACAAGAAGAGAGAUUUCAGGAAAGAGAAAAUUAUUCCUAUCAUCGGGGUUUUUGAAGAACAUGAAAUGACUGGGAAAAUAAUCAUGUUAAGUGGAAAAAAAAAAGAAAUCUAUCUGUUGUAAUUUUCAAAUAAUUUUUAAAUAAAUUUGAAAAAUUAAGAGAACUAUAUAUAUAAUACAUUCCUAAUCUUGUGAAAAAUAUAUAUGCAUUAAUAUUAUUGAAAGAAAUAUAUCAAAAGGUGAACAGCAAUUAUCACCAAUCUAGAUUAUGAGAUUAGGAGUGAUUUUUUUUCUUUGUCCUAUACUAUUUAAUAUUUUCUACCAUUAAAAUAUUCUGAUUUUCUAAUUAGAAUAGUACGUUAGACAAAGAAGGACAAAUAUCACAUGAACUCUCACUCUCUUAUGGAACAGAUCUUGUGGAAUCUAAAAAAGUUGAACUCAUAGAAAAAGAGGAAAAUGAUGGUUACCAGUUAGAAAAAAGGAAUAAGUUCAAGAGAUCUAUUGUACACCAUGGUCAAUAUAGUUAACAAUAUAUUUUAUACUUUAAAAUUGCUAAGGUAGUAGAU